rnacentral:rRNA from 1 species
UACGUAGGGUGCGAGCGUUGUCCGGAAUUAUUGGGCGUAAAGAGCUCGUAGGCGGUGUGUCACGUCGGCCGUGAAAACCUGCAGCUUAACUGUGGGCGUGCGGUCGAUACGGGCAUCACUGGAGUUCGGCAGGGGAGACUGGAAUUCCUGGUGUAGCGGUGAAAUGCGCAGAUAUCAGGAGGAACACCGGUGGCGAAGGCGGAUCUCUGGGCCUUACCUGACGCUGAGGAGCGAAAGCGUGGGGAGCGAACAGG